rnacentral:rRNA from 1 species
UGAUUCUUAGUGGCGAACGGGUGAGUAACGCGUAGACAACCUGCCUUCUAGAUGGGGACAACACUGCGAAAGUGGUGCUAAUACCGAAUGUUGCAUUAAGCCUGCAUGGGCUUGAUGCUAAAGGUGGCCUCUAUUUAUAAGCUAUCACUAGAAGAUGGGUCUGCGUCUGAUUAGCUAGUUGGUGAGGUAAUGGCUCACCAAGGCGAUGAUCAGUAGCCGGUCUGAGAGGAUGAACGGCCACACUGGGACUGAGACACGGCCCAGACUCCUACGGGAGGCAGCAGUGGGGAAUCUUCCGCAAUGGACGAAAGUCUGACGGAGCAACGCCGCGUGAGUGAAGAAGGUUUUCGGAUCGUAAAGCUCUGUCUUUGAGGACGAAUGUGUCUAAUGUGAAUAAUGUUAGAUAAUGACGGUACUCGAGGAGGAAGCCACGGCUAACUACGUGCCAGCAGCCGCGGUAAUACGUAGGUGGCAAGCGUUGUCCGGAAUUAUUGGGCGUAAAGCGCGCGCAGGC